UAACGAAUAUUCCGCAAUGGGCGAAAGCCUGACGGAGCGACGCCGCGUGGAGGACGAAUUCCUUCGGGAUGUAAACUUCUUUUGGGGUGAAGAAACCAAGGAGCGCUAAUACCGCUCUGCGUUGAUCGAUCCCAGAAUAAGCCUGGGCUAAUUCCGUGCCAGCAGCCGCGGUAAUACGGAACAGGCAAGCGUUGUUCGGAAUCACUGGGCUUAAAGCGCGUGUAGGCGGCCUGGCAAGUACCUCGUGAAAUCCCCCGUCUCAACCGGGGCACUGCUUGGUAUACUGCCGGGCUUGAGGUAGGUAGGGGUGGCUGGAACGCUAGGUGGAGCGGUGAAAUGCGUAGAUAUCUAGAGGAACGCCUGUGGCGAAAGCGGGGCACUGGGCCUAUCCUGACGCUGAGGCGCGAAAGCGUGGGUAGCAAACG
rnacentral:rRNA from 1 species